GGUGGGGAUGACGUCAAGUCAUCAUGGCCCUUAUGUCCAGGGCGACACACGUGCUACAAUGGCCGGCACAACGGGAAGCGAGUUCGCGAGGACGAGCGGAUCCCUCAAAGCCGGUCGCAGUUCGGAUUGAAGUCUGCAACUCGACUUCAUGAAGCUGGAAUCGCUAGUAAUCGUGGAUCAGCCAAGCCGCGGUGAAUACGUUCCCGGGCCUU
rnacentral:rRNA from 1 species